rnacentral:rRNA from 1 species
UACGUAGGGGGCAAGCGUUGUCCGGAAUCAUUGGGCGUAAAGAGCGUGUAGGCGGCCCGGCAAGUCCGCUGUGAAAGUCAAGGGCUCAACCCUUGAAUGCCGGUGGAUACUGCCGGGCUAGAGUCCGGAAGAGGCGAGUGGAAUUCCUGGUGUAGCGGUGAAAUGCGCAGAUAUCAGGAGGAACACCGAUGGCGAAGGCAGCUCGCUGGGACGGUACUGACGCUGAGACGCGAAAGCGUGGGGAGCAAACAGG